GAUGAACGCUGGCGGCGUGCCUAAUACAUGCAAGUCGAGCGAACAGACGAGGAGCUUGCUCCUCUGACGUUAGCGGCGGACGGGUGAGUAACACGUGGAUAACCUACCUAUAAGACUGGGAUAACUUCGGGAAACCGGAGCUAAUACCGGAUAAUAUAUUGAACCGCAUGGUUCAAUAGUGAAAGACGGUUUUGCUGUCACUUAUAGAUGGAUCCGCGCCGCAUUAGCUAGUUGGUAAGGUAACGGCUUACCAAGGCAACGAUGCGUAGCCGACCUGAGAGGGUGAUCGGCCACCUGGGAACUGAGACACGGUCCAGACCCCGAGGGGAGGAGGCAGGGGGAAAUCUGGCACAAGGGGAGAAGGCCGGAGGGAGAAACGCCGGGGGAGUGAUGAAGUUUUGCGGAUCGAAAAACUUUUUUAUGGGGAAAGAAAAAAUGUGAAAGAACAUAUGCGCGUCUUGAGGGUACCUAAUAAAAAAGCCAGGGCUAACUCCGUG
rnacentral:rRNA from 1 species